CUGCUCCACAGGCUUCACUGUGCUGGAGGCCUCUGUGUCUGCUGUCUGUGUCCUGCAAGGACAAGAUCAGCUGGAUCCUUCACUCAGUAGGAGCCUGAGAUGGGCGAGCAGAGGAGUGAGGAGGCAUGAUUUUCCUCCAUUUCUCUGGGAGGGAAAGGACUGUGGUUGACUAGCUGUGCAUCCCCAGGGUCCACCUCCAGGCUUGGCCCAGUGGAGAGCCUCCCUCAGGGCUGUUGACCAGGAUGGAGAGGCUGAAGAGGAGAUUUCUCCAUCACCCCCAGCACCCAGCACCUGCCUGCAGAGAAGCUGGGACCUACUUCUCCUACUGAAAGGUCUCCUCUCCUACAGCCCCAUCAGCUUCUAAGGUGAUUUUGCACUAGAUGGGACUUUCCGUACAAUGUUGAACAGAUAUGGAGAUAACAGCAUCCGGGUCUUGUUCCUGAUCUCAGAAGGCAAGCUUUCAACAUUGUCCCCAUUAAUAUGAUAUCUAUUUGCUGUUGGCUUUUUUGUAGAUAUGUAGAUUCUAUAGAAACUUUUGUAGAUUAAGGAAGUCCCUUUAGAUAGUUAGUUAUAAACAUGAAUGGAUGUUGAAUUUCAGCAUCAACUGAGAUAAUCAUUUGAUUUUUCUCUUUGGUUAUGAAUCAUACCAAUUUAUUUUCAAAUACCAAGCCAAACUUACAUUUCUCUUGCAGUCUGUAAAUGACAAUAUUUGUCUUUUAAAAACACACUUUUUAUUAAAGUGUAGCAUACAUAUGCAUAUAUAACAGCAGAUGCACAAAUCAUACAUGUAGAGUUUGAUGAAUUUUUAAAAUUUGAACACCUCGCUAAAAAACAGCUCUCAAAUAAAGUAAGAGAAGAUUACCCGCCCACAAAAACUCUAUACAUGCCUCUUUCCAAUCACUACCCCAGAGGUGAUCACUAUCCUGACAUCUAACACAAUGUAUUCAUUAUGACUGUGUGUGAAGUUUUUAUAAAUGGAAUUGUAUAGAAGGUGCCUGAGGUUUUCUGUUUAAAAUUUUGUUUAUUAGAUUCUCCAAUGUUGUUCCAUAAAGAAAUAGCUCUUACAUGCUCACUUCUGUAUAAUCUUUAUGUAUGUGAGUGUACCAAAGUUACCUGUCUAUUCUAUUGGUAAUAGAUAUUUUGGUCGUUUCUAACUUGGGGUUAUUACAAUGGUGCUGAAGCGAACAUAUGUAUUCUUUUCUGUUGGUCAUGUACUUAGGAAUGGAGUUUUACAGCAUAUGACUACGUUCUGCUUUAGAAAAUUCUGCUAGUUUUCCAAAGUUAAUUGUAGCAAUUCAUAUUCCCACCAAUGUAUAUGAGAGUUCUAGG
rnacentral:lncRNA from 10 species